GGCGGCGUGCUUAACACAUGCAAGUCGAGUGCGCGGUUGUAGCAAUACAACUGGCGCACGGCGCACGGGUGCGUAACACGUGGGCAAUCUGCCCUUCGAUGGGGAAUAACUCCGGGAAACCGAAGCUAAUUCCGCAUAACAUUCCUUGGACCUCGGUUCGAGGACUCAAAGCCGUAAGGCGUCGAAGGAGGAGCCCGCGCACGAUUAGCUAGUUGGUAGGGUAACGGCCUACCAAGGCUUUGAUCGUUAGCUGGUCUGAGAGGAUGGCCAGCCACACUGGAACUGAGACACGGUCCAGACUCCUACGGGAGGCAGCAGUGGGGAAUCUUGCACAAUGGGCGAAAGCCUGAUGCAGCGACGCCGCGUGGGGGAUGAAGCAUUUCGGUGUGUNAACCCCUUUCGACCCGGACGA
rnacentral:rRNA from 1 species